AUGAUUGACUUUGGUGUCCAGCCUUCUCAAAGGACCGUGAGCUCCCGGAGGGCAAGAACAUGCCUUUUUUUUCUGUUUGGACCCCCAGCACCCAGGGCAGGACGCGCCGCGCUCUGUGCAAACAGGCAAGGUGGCCGGGUAGGAACGCAGGACACGCGUGGUCCGGGGGCCCAACCCCGGGGAGCCGCCACCGAGAAAGGUAGCGAUCAGCGGAAGGGGCAUCCUCAGGCGGGAGGAGGAAAGGGUGGCUUGGGAGAAAAGACGCCGGUAAGCGGGGGUCACCCCCCUGCCGAGACCUUAGCGCUGGUCAGCAGUCCUCUCCUGCCAGAGUUUAGCAGGACCAUAGCAGAGGUGGGUACAGCCCAGAUGCAAGGGGGGCUCCUCUUUCCUCAAAACACGGGAGAAACUGUUACAGAACUUCACAGCGAGAGGCUUGCGGGAAAUCUCAAGCAGUCCUCUGCAAGCCCAGGAGGGCCACCUGCUCCCCUGGGUUCGGCCUCCACGCCCUUUCUAGGCUGCCCCCACGUGGACCCAGACGUGACACGGCUCCACCGCCCCCCGCCCACACGACCACAGCGCCGCCCCCCGCCCUAUGAGGCCACAAAGCCACUCUGCAAACCUCCUUUCUGUAAGCGGUGCUUGUUCCGGAUCCUUCCACGGGGCGGUGCUCUCUCUUCUGCUCUCAGCCUGCACCGGCCACCCCCGGCCCCCGCCCCCAGAACCAGGGGCAGAGAACCUCCCUGUGCUUGUCCCUCUGUGGCUCCAGCGCUGCCGGCCCCCAUUGCACGGUGCGUCCUGACCCUGCCCGCGGCCCGUCGCAGGCCUCUCCGAGCAGAGGAGGCCGUCUGCGGGCCCUGGGCCCUCUGCUCCAUCCGGGCACCUGCAGGAAGGCUGCCCCCUGCCGAGGCGAGAGCCCGCAAAGGGCAAGGUCAACGCCGCGCUCACCCUCGUGAGCAUCGCCAGGAGCAGGAGUGCGUCUUCCGGGCAGUUCACAGAAGACGCCGCACUGAAGACUUCAGGGUCCUUUCCUCCAGUUUUCCUGAGAUAUUUGGAAGCGUGACAGGCAGGCUGUGA
rnacentral:lncRNA from 1 species